AGGCGGGGGGAUUUACUUGACUCCCUCACAGAGCGCAGGGCGGCCGCGGCCGGCACGCGGGAAGCGGCUUGCUCCGGAGCGGCGGGGGACGGCCGGGCAAUAACGCUUCCCGCGCCGCUUAGGAAAGGGACGGAUCCCACCUGCCACCUGCAGCCGAACCGCCGCGUGACACAGCGAUUUUGGCCAGGUCCGGAGCAAGCCGGGCGCGGAGAGCAGGUCUUCCGCGCGGCGCGGUGUCCGCGCCGGGAGCCCCUCUGCGGGCGCUGCGGCGCCCUGCCCCGUGCAGGGCUCCCCGCGCCGAGGCUGGCGGGACCCGGAGCGGGGGCUCUUCCACUCCCCGCGGCCGGCACGGCACGGCACGGCACGGCACGCCGAGAGCGAGAGCUGCCUCGCACGCCGACGAGAUCGGGUUUCGCACAAAGUGCGGCGGCAGCCAACGCUUCCUCUGAAAGCGCUGCCAGAGGAGGAGGAGGAGGAGGCCGUGCUUCGCCCUCCGCAGCAGCCGGGCGCGGGGCGUCCUGCUCCCGCCGGGAACGCCGGGCCCUGCUCGGGUGGCACCUGCUGCCCCCAGGUGGGUGCCCGCACUGCCGGUCCCACCAGGGCGCUCGGACCGCGCUCGGACCUCGCCCGGUGACACCUCCUCGGCGCGGUGGAACGGACCCGCCGGACGGUGGGGAUGGGACCUGCCCCGACACCGCGCAGGAGAGGGCGUUCGCCUGGGUGGCGGGAGGCGUCCGUGCGAGUCCCCUCCCGCCAGCGAGAGAACUGAACCGACCUUUCCACCUCCUUCGCCCAGGAGCUUGUGGCCCACAACCCCAAAUUCACCGCUCACAGGUGAAGGCCUCUGCCCAGCACGGUGUAGCCGAGUCCUGGUUACCUUCUGCGCGCACAUCGGUGUUUGUCCCACAGAGGCAGCCGUGGGGUCCCRUGCAGCCCUCCGCAGCUGCAAGGACGUCCUCAGGCUCCACCAGCAAAGUCGCUCUGCGUGGGGCGUCUCGGCUGUCUGCAGCAGCUCAGAGCAGAGGAAUGGCUCGAGCAGUCACAGCUUCCACCUGCCUCUCCUCAGGACGGGCACCACCGCCAGCUCUGGGUACAAGGGCAACCUCCUCUUGGUGGAGGAAGCUCUGGUUUGCUGCAGAUCGUAAGCUGGCACGUACACAUGUCCACGUGCUUGGGCACGGAUGUGCGCAGUGGACGUUUCCCUUCCUGAGGGUGAGGAGCAAGGCUGGCCUUGUGCGAGCGGGGUGA
rnacentral:lncRNA from 1 species